UCAGAAAUGUUGGAGGAGCUUCAAUGAGUGAGAAACUGUGUUACCUGCAAAAGAUAAAAGCAAAACAGAAUGCAUUGAUGAAGAUAAUUCAAUCAGCAUGCACAGCAUAGAAUUGUUAUAGAUUGGGUAACUUCAUCAAGACUUCUCCAUGACUGAAGGUGGUAGAUUCUGAAGGAUUGGUUACUUGCACUACAGCAAAUUUACAACCAGCAAAAUAGACUAGAAACAAGCUACUUGUUGAUGAAGAGUGACAACAUGAGAAGUGACAAAUGAAGCAAUUGAUUUCAGGAAAAAAAGAAGACACAUAGAUAGCAAAAAGGCAUAGAUCAAAUAGCAAAAAGGCACCGAGUAUUAAAAUGAAAUUAAUACUCACCAUUUUAAAUGAAGCGCCCACAUAAAUAAGGAUGAGUAGAGUUGAACUACAGGAUCUGGACCAAGAUAGGAUUAGUGAAUAUCUCAAGAACAAUCAAGAAUGUAAGAAAAUAUCAUUGUCUGUUAAGACCCCAUCGCAGAGAAGUUAAAGAGCUUCAAUCACCAUGCUUUCAGGGUCAAUUUGUCUCCGAAAAGGAACAGAUGGGGAAGAAUUAUUCCAUUCACAGUUGACUUGUCAGAAAUUCCAAGAUCUUGGACUGGCUGAAAGCAAUGAUGUUGCCAUUCAUCCUUUCACGUAUUCAUUAUGGUCUACAGCUGAGAAGGGCUAUUUGGGGUUUGCUUUGCCUGAUGGUAGCAGAAGAAAACCAAGAGGCCUCUCUACGAAAGCUUGCAGUAAGGAGAAAGUUCUGGAGACUGGGAAGAGCAACACAAAGAUAUUCAGUUGCUUGGUGAGAGCUGCUCUCUGCUUCCAAGGCGGCACCUUGUUGCUGCAUUCUCCAAUGGGAAGGAACGCUGGGUCCUCACAUGACAGAAGGUGGAAAGGAUGUAAUGAAGUUAUUCCGAGAGUUAGCACCUCUGUAUGCUCAGGAUCUCUGUCCAGUGAAUCCCUUGCCAUUCUAAUGACUUGAUUCUGAGAAAUCUCCCCAGAAAAUUGUCAGCUUCCCAGACUGCUUCCACAUGACCUGUGACAGAUGUAAUUGGGCAUGGGCGACGCGAUGCCACAGUGUGACUUUUUGCAUCUUCAGAAAGAUACACAUAAACAGGAAGUCCUGGGAAGAGAAGAUGUUAGCUGUGUCUUUCUACCACCCAGAGGCUUCACCUCUAUCAUGCUUCUAAAAUAAAAUACCAGGUUGAUGUUCUGACCAUGGGCCAUAAACCAGGGUUAAGGAAGCCCAA
ensembl:lncRNA LINC01435 long intergenic non-protein coding RNA 1435